AGUGAACGCUGGCGGUAGGCCUAACACAUGCAAGUCGAACGGCAGCACAGUAAGAGCUUGCUCUUACGGGUGGCGAGUGGCGGACGAGUGAGGAAUACAUCGGAAUCUACUUUUUCGUGGGGGAUAACGUAGGGAAACUUACGCUAAUACCGCAUACGACCUACGGGUGAAAGCAGGGGAUCUUCGGACCUUGCGCGAUUGAAUGAGCCGAUGUCGGAUUAGCUAGUUGGCGGGGUAAAGGCCCACCAAGGCGACGAUCCGUAGCUGGUCUGAGAGGAUGAUCAGCCACACUGGAACUGAGACACGGUCCAGACUCCUACGGGAGGCAGCAGUCGGGAAUAUUGCACAAUGGGCGCAAGCCUGAUCCAGCCAUGCCGCAUGGGUGAAGAAGGCCUUCGGGUUGUAAAGCCCUUUUGUUGGGAAAGAAAAGCAGCAGGUUAAUACCCCGCUAUUCUGACGGUACCCAAAGAAUAAGCACCGGCUAACUUCGUG
rnacentral:rRNA from 1 species